rnacentral:lncRNA from 1 species
AAAAUGCUAUACAAUCUAAUCAACUAACUAAUUGGGAUCUGUCUAGCAAAAAAUAUACUGUGUAGUUCUCUUUUAAAAAUUUUUUUUGCGGAUUUUUUUUAACUCCGUAUCAUCGCAUUAUUUUAAAUAAUUUUUUGCUCUCAGACGAUUUUCCUCAAAACGAGUUUACAUUAAGGACACAUUUGGUUCAGAAGAAGAAUUGAAAUCGGAAUAGGAAUGGAAAAGAGUCAGAAUUAAAACGAAAUGAUAAAAAAAUAAUUUAUUUGAUUCAUAAUAGGAAUCAGAAUCAGAAUCGGAAUCAGAAUAAGAAUUAUGUUCAAAUUGAAAUUCAAAAAAAAUAUUUUUAUUAUAAUUUACAUU